rnacentral:rRNA from 1 species
GACGAACGCUGGCGGCGUGCUUAACACAUGCAAGUCGAACGGAAAGGCCCUGCUUUUGUGGGGUGCUCGAGUGGCGAACGGGUGAGUAACACGUGUGUAACCUGCCCUUGACUUUGGGGUAACUUCAGGAAACUGGGGCUAAUACCGGAUAGGAGCUCCUGCUGCAUGGUGGGGGUUGGAAAGUUUCGGCGGUUGGGGAUGGACUCGCGGCUUAUCAGCUUGUUGGUGGGGUAGUGGCUUACCAAGGCUUUGACGGGUAGCCGGCCUGAGAGGGUGACCGGCCAAGUUGGGACUGGGAUACGGCCCAGACUCCUACGGGAGGCAGCAGUGGGGAAUAGUGCACAAUGGGCGGAAGCCUGAUGCAGCAACGCCGCGUGCGGGAUGACGGCCUUCGGGUUGCAAACCGCUUUCGCCUGUGACGAAGCGUGAGUGACGGUAAUGGGUAAAGAAGCACCGGCUAACUACGUG